AUUGAACGCUGGCGGCAGGCCUAACACAUGCAAGUCGAGCGCUUCGCGGACGGGUGAGUAAUUUCUGGGAAACUGCCUGAUGUAGGGGUCUAACUACUGGAAACUGUAUCUACUACCGCAUACCAUCAGAUUUGCCCAGAUGGGAUUAGCUGGUUGGUGGUGUAACGGCUCACCAGGGCGACGAUCCCUAGCUGGUCUGAGAGGAGGACCAGCCACACUGGAACUGAGACACGGUCCAGACUCCUACGGGAGGCAGCAGUGGGGAAUAUUGCACAAUGGGCGCAAGCCUGAUGCAGCCAUGCCGCGUGUAUGAAGAAGGCCUUCGGGUUGUAAAGUACUUUCAGCGGGGAGGCGUUACCCGCAGAAGAAGAACCGGCUAACUCCGUGCCAGUCGCCGCGGUAAUAC
rnacentral:rRNA from 1 species